CCGAAUUGUCAACACGAGCUGUUGCUGGCCCUUCAAGUGGGGGGUACGUGCACGCUCUGUUCACACAUCCAUUUACACCUGUGCACCCUCGCAGUUCCAUGGUUUGGGGGGCCCUGUCCUCCUUCUGUGGCUCUGUUCCUUUACACACACCGUAUGAAGUCUUUGGAAUGUUUGCCGCGUUUUAACGCAAUACAAUA
rnacentral:misc_RNA from 1 species